CGGCGGACGGGUGAGUAAUGCCUAGGAAUCUGCCUGGUAGUGGGGACAACGUUUCGAAAGGAACGCUAAUACCGCAUACGUCCUACGGGAGAAAGCAGGGGACCUUCGGGCCUUGCGCUAUCAGAUGAGCCUAGGUCGGAUUAGCUAGUUGGUGAGGUAAUGGCUCACCAAGGCGACGAUCCGUAACUGGUCUGAGAGGAUGAUCAGUCACACUGGAACUGAGACACGGUCCAGACUCCUACGGGAGGCAGCAG
rnacentral:rRNA from 1 species